rnacentral:rRNA from 1 species
UACGAAGGGGGCUAGCGUUGCUCGGAAUCACUGGGCGUAAAGGGCUCGUAGGUGGCCAACUAAGUCAGACGUGAAAUCCCUCGGCUUAACCGGGGAACUGCGUCUGAUACUGGAUGGCUUGAGUUUGGGAGAGGGAUGCGGAAUUCCAGGUGUAGCGGUGAAAUGCGUAGAUAUCUGGAGGAACACCGGUGGCGAAGGCGGCAUCCUGGACCAAUACUGACGCUGAGGAGCGAAAGCCAGGGGAGCAAACGGG